UUUAUGGAGAGUUUGAUCCUGGCUCAGGACGAACGCUGGCGGCGUGCCUAAUACAUGCAAGUCGAGCGG
rnacentral:rRNA from 2 species